rnacentral:lncRNA from 1 species
AAAUAUCGAGUUUGUCCUUAUUCUUUGCUUUUCACCACUUUCCUACCUUUAUUAGACUAAGUUAGACUUGUUAGGAUGUUUACAUACCUUAGAAUAAGUCUACAUUAGGUGAAUUGACCAAUUAUCACUUUAAAAGGUCACUUUUUAGGUACUUAAGAGUCAAAUUUCGAGUUUUACCUUAUUCUUUGCUUUUCACCACUUUCCUACCUUCAUUAGACUAAGUUAGACUUGUUAGGAUGUUUACAUACCUUAGAAUAAGUAUACAUUAGGUGAAUUGACCAAUUAUCACUUUAAAAGUUCACUUUUUAGGUACUUAAGAGUCAAAUUUCGAGUUUGACCUUAUUCUUUGCUUUUCACCACUUUCCUAUCUUUAUUAGACUAAGUUAGACUAGUUAGGAUGUUUA